rnacentral:misc_RNA from 1 species
GAUUAUCUGGGUGAAAGAGAGGAGUUUCCUCUGAAAGUUAUGCAUGCAUAUGUUGAUUCUUUUAAUUUUGAAGGUAUGAAUUUUGGUGAAUCAAUCAGAUAUUUCCUUCGAGGGUUCAGAUUACCCGGUGAAGCUCAGAAGAUUGACCGUAUAAUGGAGAAGUUUGCUGAGCGCUUUUGUAAAUGCAAUCCCAACUCUUUUACCAGCGCAGAUACAGCUUAUGUGCUAGCUUACUCUGUGAUAAUGCUCAAUACAGAUGCACAUAAUAGCAUGGUGAAAGAUAAGAUGACAAAAGCUGAUUUUAUCCGGAACAAUCGAGGGAUCGACGACGGGAAGGAUUUACCUGAAGAUUAUUUGGGUGCUCUUUAUGACCAAAUUGUGAGAAACGAGAUAAAGAUGAAAGCAGAUUCUUCCGUGCCACAAAACAAGCAGGGGAAUAGUCUUAAUAAGCUGUUGGGCUUGGAUGGUAUACUGAAUCUAGUAUGGAAGCAGAGAGAGGAAAAACCACUGGGUGCAAACGGAGUUCUCGUGAGGCAUAUUCAAGAGCAGUUUAAAGUAAAAUCUGGAAAAUCUGAGUCUGUCUAUUAUGUCAUUGCAGAUCCAGCUAUUUUGAGAUUUAUGGUAGAAGUCUGCUGGGGUCCCAUGCUUGCUGCUUUCAGUGUCACCCUAGACCAGAGUGAUGAUAAGAAUGCCACUUCUCAAUGUUUGCUAGGGUUCAGGCAUGCUGUGCAUAUUACAGCUGUGAUGGGUAUGCAGACGCAGAGAGAUGCUUUUGUCACCUCUAUGGCAAAGUUCACUAAUCUUCAUUGUGCGGCCGAUAUGAAACAAAAAAAAUGUUGAUACAAUGAAAACAAUAAUGUCAAUUGCCAUUGAAGAUGGGAAUCAUCUUCAUGAAGCGUGGGAGCAUAUAUUGACAUGUCUAUCUCGAUUUGAGCAUCUGCAGUUGCUGGGGGAGGGAGCGCCAUCUGAUUCCUCCUUUUUU